rnacentral:rRNA from 1 species
UACGGGGGGGGCAAGCGUUGUUCGGAAUUACUGGGCGUAAAGGGCUCGUAGGCGGCCACCUAAGUCAGACGUGAAAUCCCUCGGCUUAACCGGGGAACUGCGUCUGAUACUGGAUGGCUUGAGUUCGGGAGAGGGAUGCGGAAUUCCAGGUGUAGCGGUGAAAUGCGUAGAUAUCUGGAGGAACACCGGUGGCGAAGGCGGCAUCCUGGACCGACACUGACGCUGAGGAGCGAAAGCCAGGGGAGCAAACGGG